rnacentral:rRNA from 1 species
GACGAACGCUGGCGGCGUGCCUAAUACAUGCAAGUCGAACGAGAGCGACCGGUGCUUGCACUGGUCAAUCUAGUGGCGAACGGGUGAGUAACACGUGGGUAACCUGCCCAUCAGAGGGGGAUAACAUUCGGAAACGGAUGCUAAAACCGCAUAGGUCUUCGAACCGCAUGGUUUGAAGAUGAAAAGAGGCGCAAGCUUCUGCUGAUGGAUGGACCCGCGGUGCAUUAGCUAGUUGGUGAGGUAACGGCUCACCAAGGCCGUGAUGCAUAGCCGACCUGAGAGGGUGAUCGGCCACAUUGGGACUGAGACACGGCCCAAACUCCUACGGGAGGCAGCAGUAGGGAAUCUUCCGCAAUGGACGCAAGUCUGACGGAGCAACGCCGCGUGAGUGAAGAAGGUUUUCGGAUCGUAAAACUCUGUUGUUAGAGAAGAACAAGUGCUAGAGUAACUGUUAGCGCCUUGACGGUAUCUAACCAGAAAGCCACGGCUAACUACGUG